rnacentral:lncRNA from 1 species
CACCUUGUUCAUCCUCUUUAGUUUCCUGAUCUCCCUGGUACGAUUAGAAAGUUCUUCUAUGAACUCGUCUCUGUCCUCUCUCAGCUCAUGCAGCUUCACUCCUGCAGCACGUAUACGCUUCUCGACGUAUUCCUCCAGUUCAUCCUCCCAUACAUAGACCUCACAUGCUCUGCUAUGAACCUGUGUAAAAAAGAAAAUAACAAAAACAAAAUAAACUGUAGUCAAUGUCGAUACUGAAAUGAAACAAUUAACUUUUAUCCUUUUACUAUAGUAUCUUACCCCAUAGCUCUGGCAGCUGAAAUAGAACUUGUGUUUCCUAGAAACAGCAGAGCCAGGUUUCCUGGCGCAUGCCCUGCCGCAUGCACAACUAAGGAUUGGAUCAACUGUUGCCAUCGUUGUCUAAGUUCUGUUGUUGUUGGAUGAGAAGUGUUUGCCG